rnacentral:rRNA from 1 species
AACGAACGCUGGCGGCAUGCCUAACACAUGCAAGUCGAACGAGACCUUCGGGUCUAGUGGCGCACGGGUGCGUAACGCGUGGGAACCUGCCCUUAGGUUCGGAAUAACUCCCCGAAAGGGGUGCUAAUACCGGAUAAUGUCUUCGGACCAAAGAUUUAUCGCCUUUGGAUGGGCCCGCGUUGGAUUAGCUAGUUGGUAGGGUAAAAGCCUACCAAGGCAACGAUCCAUAGCUGGUCUGAGAGGAUGAUCAGCCACACUGGGACUGAGACACGGCCCAGACUCCUACGGGAGGCAGCAGUGGGGAAUAUUGGACAAUGGGCGAAAGACUGAUCCAGCAAUGCCGCGUGAGUGAUGAAGGCCUUAGGGUUGUAAAGCUCUUUUACCCGGGAUGAUAAUGACAGUACCGGGAGAAUAAGCGCCGGCUAACUCCGUG